UGAGGAUGUAGGUCAGUGGUAGAGCAUUUACAUAGGAUGCAUGAGGUCCUGAGUUUGACUCUCAGCACCACAA
rnacentral:tRNA from 1 species